GAUGAAGAACGUAGCAAAAUGCGAUAAGUAAUGUGAAUUGCAGAAUUCAGUGAAUCAUCGAGUCUUUGAACGCACAUUGCGCCCGCCAGUAUUCUGGCGGGCAUGCCUGUUCGAGCGUCAUUUCAACCCUCAAGCACAGCUUGGUGUUGGGACUCGCGUUAAUUCGCGUUCCCCAAAUUGAUUGGCGGUCACGUCGAGCUUCCAUAGCGUAGUAGUAAAACCCUCGUUACUGGUAAUCGUCGCGGCCACGCCGUUAAACCCCAACUUCUGAAUGUUGACCUCGGAUCAGGUAGGAAUACCCGCUGAACUUAAGCAUAUCAAUAAGCGGAGGA
rnacentral:misc_RNA from 1 species